GGGUGCGGUCAUACCAGCAUUAAUGCACCGGAUCCCAUCAGAACUCCCCAAUUAAGUGCACUUGGGCCAGAGUAGUACUGGGAUGGGUGACCCCCCGGGAAGUCCUGGUGUUGCACCCU
rfam:Picea glauca, whole genome shotgun sequence.